rnacentral:lncRNA from 1 species
CCGUUCUUGACCUCGCGUAAACCUUAACAUGCGUUAACGCGGUUGUGCGUACAUAUAUUUGCAGACGUACGGGGCGACAGUUUAAUGUGUAUUGACAAGCGACACCCCCUCACCUCUCUAAAGUCACACACAAGCAUGCGCGACUCCAAACAGACUGCAGUAACACAACAUUAAGCGGUUUUCUCUUCUCUGUUAUCUGCAGCUUCCUUUUUGCCCUUUGGUUAAACAUUCUCUUGGCAUGCAUGAUCUCAUUUAACUUUGAUUUCCUUCUUUUUUUUUCCAGGACAGCAUUCUUGAUGGUUCCAAUUUCCAACCCAUUCCCCAAUUUUCAACUCCAAUGACAGGCAACACAUGCAGGAAUGGCUGUUUAGCUACAGAAGGGAGCUGGAGGAACCGACCCCCUGAUCUCCGUCUGAUCCUCCUGCGUGACGCAGCGUCUUCCUCCCUGCGCUCGGCGGAGACGUAACCCCCCGUGGCCUUUGACAUAUGAUUGGAGUGACAGUCAUCCGGGCCUCGGAGAGCCC